ensembl:lncRNA
UUUUGCCAGGAUACAGUGUCUUUAUUUUCCAGGUUACAUGUCAUGGCACAGAUUCAAAAUAACAAGGUUGAUAUUGUUGUUGUUUUUUUAAAAAUGGCAGUCAUCUUCAACAUCAGCAGAUAUUCAGUCAACUCCUUCCGCUUGGCAGAAGUAAUUCAGGCACAGACCAGGUGUUGGUUCCAACCUUGUCUGAUAAGCUACUGACGCUAACAGAAACAACAAAAAAAUGCAUGAAAUGUGGAUCUUAUUUUGUUUUUCUUUUUAGCUUUAAAGAAGUUCAAUUCACAAUUAAAGGUUUUCUACUGAUCAAAAAAUACAUAGAAGUAUUUGAAUUGACGGCAACAAUUCUUAAACAAGAUUAAUAUUUGAUAGAAACAUAACAUUCAUUAUACAAUAAAAACAUUUUGCACAAAACAAGAAAAAAUAAGGCAAAAAGGGUAAAAAAUAAAAAUAAAAGUUCAGUCUUCAUAUUUUUCAGUACAGAAUCACAAUCACAAAGCUUUACCAACAGAACUAAUCUUAAAAUUACAUAACCAUGAUGCUUUAAAUGACUUUUUUUUGUCUUAAAAUUAUUUGUUUUUAUAGAAUACACUGCAAUCACUACGGACCCCCAACAAGACAACGCUGCUCAUCACAUCUUGGAGUUGAAGACAGUAAAGAAGAAAGGCACAAAGAACCAGACAGGUUUGCAACGCGGACUGAGACUCAAAGCAGGUCUGUAUUGGCAUAUUUCUUACAGGAUAGCUCUAGGUGUACCUAGACAGGUUCAGCAGUGAGGGGUAUGUAGUGGCCAGUGGCUCUCAGAGCGGGUGCCUUCUGUAGGAGGAUUACGGGUUGCAUUGCUGUGCUUCUACUCCUCAGUGGACAUGUGAAGUCAUAUAGAGCUUAACAUCGUCCACCUAGCUGGCCCUCUCUUCGUUUAGCGACUUGGUCUGCAAACGUUAUGUAGACUAAUGUCCCAUGGCGUAAUGUUUUAUAGAAAGCAUUGAAAUGUUACUGGUGGCAUUCUAACAGUAUUAUAUAGAAUGCAAGUGCAAUUAUCAUUGGGCAAACUAGCUGGAGGAGCAAGGCCUUGACCUACUCUAAACAGACACUGUUCACUGAGCAUCUGAACACAAGGCCUGCUGGGAGCUCAAGACUUGGCAUUUGACUUGGUGGCAAUAAAAGAAGUGUGGUACAUGUUGAUACGUGAUAUAAUGGAGUACUGGAGUGUGUGUGUGGUGGUGGUGGGGAGGGGUUACAUGGGAAAUGUUGUCUCUAAGUUAGUCAUGGGAGCUGAGGUAGUUGGCAACUAGCUAGCCAGCUCCAAUUGAAAUGGUUCUGUAUCUUGGCCUGAGUAACUAUGGCCAACAUAAUGGUAGCAGACAAAAAGUAGUGCAAUGCAGACGGCUAGUUUGUCUGGGAGUUUGGGAAACAGGAGAAGCAGACUAACAUAUGUUCUAACAAUGAUCCAAUGAAUGUUGCCAUCUUAACAUGCAUAUACACCACCACAUGAAGAGCCUUUAAAACCAAUCCAAUGACUCCAGCAGACUAAAUGUUACAACCAUAUAAAUGUCAUGUCAUCUGACUAAUGCCUCUGUAAUAAGGUGUACAAUAUAAAAUGCUUUAAGCGUGCAGUUAGAAACAUAUUACAGGCUUUAAGGUUUUGGCUUUCAAAGGAGACAUCUUUUUUUCAAGAGCAAGAAAUUAUAAUAAGCAAGUUAUUAAGUGGAUAAAUCAAAAGAAGGUGUAAGCCCUCAUACUUGUGUGAGGCCUCUCCCCCUUAAAAAUAAGUUUUGCAUACAUUUAUCAUAAUACUGCACAUAGAACCUUUUAAGUGCCUUGUUCUGAAUGGUUAACUCAUGUCUGUAUUCCAGGGGUCAGGUGAUGUGUAAUAAAGAAGCCGGUUCAGUUUCUUAUGGCUAAGAUAUGGCAUCUUCCCAUGACUGACGGACACUAGCAUACGGCUAACAGGUCCAGCAGCACUCCAACUAAUAGAACCUGGUUUAACUUCUCUGAGAUCAGAAGAGUAGAAGACAAAUGUAGAAGCUAAAACAACAGCAAAUUGAAAAUGAAGAAGCAGCUCCCUCUGCUGGGUGGAAGAGGGCAGAGCAGGACCAGGUGGUUGGAGCAGGGCAAAGACAACCUACAUCAGAAUAGCAUGUUUUUAUGUAGAACUUUUAACAGUCAGGCAAAGGGCACAGUCAAACUGUUAUAGAGCCCCAAACAGAACGAGGACAGAAACUCAUUCAGCACAGAUGCACUUAGUUUUUAUUUUACAGACACGAGAGGGAUUGUUUUCUAAUCAACUUAAAUAAAUGUCCCUAACCACCAUAGUUUUGCGGCAGGAGCUUUAAGCUUGCGUUGUUGCCACUGUGAAAACUCCAGCAUUGUUCUGUCUGUCUUUGUGGGAGCAAUCCCUUUGGUAGUUGAAUUUGAUUUACCAAGAGGUUCCUAAGUGAAUAGAGAAAGUCUGAAAAAAACAACCCCAGAACAAAAAACACCCACUAAAUAAACUCAAAGACUAAGACCAGCCACCCCGUCAAUCAAUCAUAUGCCCCUCCCCCCUAUAUCUUUUACCAUGUCUCAACAACAUAUGGUCUGUCUGACUAGUUAUCAUCAGUAUUGUCAUUGCAUAAAUUAGUUUAUUUCAACAUUGCUGGGGGGUCUUGGUAGAGUAAUGUCACAACAUCUAUGAUGUCACUUAUGAUGUCAUUGAUAACAUCUCUGAUUUCCCUGAUCAUAGCUUGGCUUCAGAUACUUUGAAAGUAAAAAGGAUAAAAAGAUCACUGAAAACGUAAAGCCUCUCAAACAGACAGACAAUCUCCCGAGGCCGCAGCAUGGCAACAGACAGACAGACAGCAGUCUCCCGAGGCCGUAGCAUGGCAACAGACAGACAGACAACAGUCUCCCAAGGCCGCAGCAUGGCAACAGACAGACAAAAAAUAGACAGACAGUCUCCCAAGGUUGCAGCAUGGCAACAGACAGACAACAGACAGACAACAGUCUCCCAAGGCCGCAGCAUGGCAACAAUAACGACUGAACCAUAAACAACAGAUUGCACUAAAAACACAACAGUAAAGUCACUCACUGUUAGUUUGAACAGGAGUUGCCAGAACCCAAGGGUGAGUUGCCAGAACCCAAAUUCACCAUAUUCCCUGUGGGACACUAUGGAACCCAAGCAGAGCACUCUAUAGGUAACACAGUGAAUUGGGACAUUGAGACCUCUAUUUGUUCACCUUGGCUUGAUACACAUAAGACAAGCAGCUCCUCCACAAUAAGCCAAGAUAUGAACCUCCCACAACCUGCAGACAAACAAGAGAAUGAGGGGGAGGAGGUUGAGGAGGAGGGGAAGAGGUUGAGGAUCAGAAAGUUAAAGCAGAAACAGAACUAUGGAGAGAGAAAUAAAGAGGGACUGAUUCCUGACACCAUUCCCGAAGGUGGUGGUCUGGUCAGAGGGAGGGGUCUGGUCAGAGGGAGGGGUCUGGUCAGAGGGAGGGGUCUGGUCAGAGGGAGGGGUCUGGUCAGCACACAAUGCAGAAGAGCAGUAGAGGAGCAUCCAGGGCAGUCUGAUCUGUAGAGGAGCAGAGGAGCGUCCAGGGCAGUCUGAUCUGUAGAGGAGCAGUAGAGGAGCAUCCAGGGCAGUCUGAUCUGUAGAGGAGCAGUAGAGGAGCGUCCAGGGCAGUCUGAUCAGUAGAGGAGCGUCCAGGGCAGUCUGACCUGUAGAGGAGCAGUAGAGGAGCGUCCAGGGCGGUCUGAACUUUAGAGGAGCAAUAGAGGAGCGUCCAGGGCGGUCUGAUCUUUAGAGGAGCAGUAGAGGAGUGUCCAGGGCAGUCUGAUUUUUAGAGGAGCAGUAGAGGAGUGCCCAGAGCAGUCUGAUCUGUAGAGGAGCAGUAGAG